AUGCAAGUCGAGCGGUAGAGAGAAGCUUGCUUCUCUUGAGAGCGGCGGACGGGUGAGUAAUGCCUAGGAAUCUGCCUGGUAGUGGGGGAUAACGUUCGGAAACGGACGCUAAUACCGCAUACGCCCUACGGGAGAAAGCAGGGGACCUUCGGGCCUUGCGCUAUCAGAUGAGCCUAGGUCGGAUUAGCUAGUUGGUGAGGUAAUGGCUCACCAAGGCGACGAUCCGUAACUGGUCUGAGAGGAUGAUCAGUCACACUGGAACUGAGACACGGUCCAGACUCCUACGGGAGGCAGCAGUGGGGAAUAUUGGACAAUGGGCGAAAGCCUGAUCCAGCCAUGCCGCGUGUGUGAAGAAGGUCUUCGGAUUGUAAAGCACUUUAAGUUGGGAGGAAGGGCAGUUACCUAAUACGUGAUUGUUUUGACGUUACCGACAGAAUAAGCACCGGCUAACUCCGUGCCAGCAGCCGCGGUAAUACGGGGGGUGCAAGCGUUGUUCGGAAUUAUUGGGCGUAAAGCGCGUGUAGGCGGUUUGAUUAGUCUGAUGUGAAAGCCCUGGGCUCAACCCAGGAAGUGCAUUGGAAACUGUCAGACUUGAAUACGGGAGAGGGUAGUGGAAUUCCUAGUGUAGGAGUGAAAUCCGUAGAUAUUAGGAGGAACACCGGUGGCGAAGGCGGCUACCUGGACCGAUAUUGACGCUGAGACGCGAAAGCGUGG
rnacentral:rRNA from 1 species